rnacentral:rRNA from 1 species
GUAUGUACUGUACGAAUAAGCAUCGGCUAACUCCGUGCCAGCAGCCGCGGUAAUACGGAGGAUGCGAGCGUUAUCCGGAUUUAUUGGGUUUAAAGGGUGCGUAGGCGGGCUGAUAAGUCAGUGGUGAAAGUUUGCAGCUUAACUGUAAAAUUGCCAUUGAAACUGUUAGUCUUGAGUGCAAAUGAGGUAGGCGGAAUGUGUUGUGUAGCGGUGAAAUGCUUAGAUAUAACACAGAACUCCGAUUGCGAAGGCAGCUUACUGGGAUGCAACUGACGCUGAUGCACGAAAGCGUGGGUAUCAAACAGGAUUAGAUACCCUGGUAGUCCACGCAGUAAACGAUGAAUACUAACUGUUUGCGAUAUACAGUAAGCGGUACAGCGAAAGCGUUAAGUAUUCCAC